UCUGUGUGUGUAUAUCUGUGAGUGUGUGUGUGUGUGUGUGUGUGUGUGUACACAUUUAUAUACACACACAAUAUACACAUACAUACACAGGUAUACGUG